rnacentral:lncRNA from 1 species
AGCUACAUGAUGGAAGAUCAGGACUCAUGGAAAGAUGACAUGCAGGUGUUCCAGUCAACAGCACCACGAAAGAUCUCAGCCAACAGCCAGUAUUAACCAUCAGACAUAAAAUGAAAAGGCAAGGCACUAAAUGGAAGAAAGUAUUGGCAAAAUAUAUAUCUGCAAAGACCGUGCAUUGAGAUUAUAAAAAGAACUUUUAUAAUUGAAUUAUAAGAAGAUAAAUACUCCCCUUCCCACUGGGCCAAAGACUGGGACGCCUCACAAAAGAAGAUUGGCAAAUGGUCAAUAAGCACAUGAAAAGGGGCUGGCCCGGUGUCACAGCAGUUAAGUUCGUGCGUUCCACUUCUCCGUGGCCCGGGGUUCGCCGGUUCAGAUUGCAGGUGCGGACAUGGCACCGCUUGGCCAAAAAGCCAUGCUGUGGUAGGUGUCCCAUGUAUAAAGUAGAGAAAGAUGGGCAUGGAUGUUAGCUC